UCCAAGUUGUCCAUAGGAUGGGUCCACCAUCAGAUGGACCACGACACAUAAAUUUCCAGAAGAACAUGGUAAAGCUUGGUAGCUGUUUAUUUGUUUUGUACAUUGAUACCCACAUGUUGAGUUGACCAGGGCCUGAUACUUGGAGAUGUAUGCUGCCACUCUGGAAGUUAUAUUUCUAUCAUCAUUUCUAGAUCUAGGGGAGUCUCUGGAUUUGUAUCAGCUUAGUUGAUUUUAUAUUCCCUGUUUGCUUCUUUUCUUGGGUCUACUUCCUUUGCCAACUCCCUCGGACUGUUGUUUGUUGAAAUUUUUUCAGAAGUUUGGACAUUGUUCCUUCAUUUGGGUGUUAAUAUUUUAUUAACUGCAAUUUCAGUCCCAUUAAGGAUGCUGAUUAACUUAUUAUUUGCAAAACUGGGAUGGUGUGGCAGUGCAACUGGAGAGAAGCUUUGGAAGUGAUAUUCCAAGAUCGAUGCAAUAGAUGAAUUUCUUUAAAACAUUUGCAAAGGCUUCAACUUCAACAAAACACAGGGGAGGACUCGUAGCUGCAAAUUCUCCAAGAUGGAAGAGGAUACUUCUUCAAAUCUUCUCUGAGGGAAAAGGGCGUCAAGGCUUUUGUGAGUGAGUACGCUGUGGCUGGAAAAGAUGGAUUCCUUAUUGGAUUGGAAUGGAACAGGCCGUGUUGAACAAGGGACUAUUAAAGUUGGAGAAGAUGUGGAGAUUUUAGGUUUAAUGCAGGUUGGACAAGUACAGGCAACUUGUACUGUGAAGGAACUACGUGAAAUUCCUUGUAGUUUUCACUUGUCCUUUGCAUUAUGACAAAAAAAUCAGUUUGUUUGACUAUCAGGGAGUUCCCUCCUGAUACAUGAUUCGGAUGUCUACUUAACAUGGGAAGGUGGCACUUGUCAAUGCACGUGGAGGGGCAUGCUUGUGGAGCUACAUAUCUCUUUGGAGAAAUGCAACAAGAAAGGGUUAAAGAGGAUGGAUAUAGAAAAUAAGACAUGUCAGGUAAUCUAUUUAUGAUUCUUGCUGUUUGAUUAUGGACUGUUAUGGUCUAUCCUCAUGGUGGCCUGUCAGAAGGAUGGUGUAGGUCCCUAGUUCAAAAACCUAAAACUUUGGACUUGAUGUUCAGCAGGUCAUGUUUUAUACCCACUCUACCCAUCCAUUGCACUAGCUAAUGUUAGGACAUGAACCACUCCGUUGCUGUUUGAUUUUUUUUGCUCCUCGGUUAUGUAUAUCUGAGGUUUGAGUGCUUUUUUUUGUUAGCUUGUUAGUACACCCAACUGUCAGUUCAGAAUUCAGAAUCGACUCUGCAAUGGAUUCCAAUUCAACUAAAUCAGGAAAAUGUUUAUAACCUU